AGUGAACGCUGGCGAUAGGCCUAACACAUGCAAGUCGAACGGCAGCACAGUAAGAGCUUGCUCUUACGGGUGGCGAGUGGCGGACGGGUGAGGAAUACAUCGGAAUCUACUUUUUCGUGGGGGAUAACGUAGGGAAACUUACGCUAAUUCCGCAUACGACCUACGGGUGAAAGCAGGGGAUCUUCGGACCUUGCGCGAUUGAAUGAGCCGAUGUCGGAUUAGCUAGUUGGCGGGGUAAAGGCCCACCAAGGCGACGAUCCGUAGCUGGUCUGAGAGGAUGAUCAGCCACACUGGAACUGAGACACGGUCCAGACUCCUACGGGAGGCAGCAGUGGGGAAUAUUGGACAAUGGGCGCAAGCCUGAUCCAGCCAUACCGCGUGGGUGAAGAAGGCCUUCGGGUUGUAAAGCCCUUUUGUUGGGAAAGAAAAGCAGCAGGUUAAUACCCCGCUGUUCUGACGGUACCCAAAGAAUAAGCACCGGCUAACUUCGUG
rnacentral:rRNA from 1 species